UGUUAUGUGGCUUAAUUAGUGAAAGUGCCGGUCUAGCAAUUACAAAGUCGUGGGUUCGAGUCCCAUCAGAACGG
rnacentral:tRNA from 1 species